rnacentral:lncRNA from 12 species
CAUCACUACCAGAUCACAGAUGAUGAAGUGCCAGUCGAGAAGCUGGAGGAGAUCAAGAGACGUUUCACCAGUGCCAGAGUGACAGCCAAGUACCACGGCAUCAAGCUACAAUACAGAGAGCAGAUGCACCAUGUUUAUGACCUGCUGGGACAUCUGAAAUCUAAGCUGAGCUUGUGGAGAGGGCCUUACGGCUCUCAGGAGUCUGUUCAGUCUCUGCUACAAGACUGGCAUGAGACUGUUGACAAGCAAGGUCUGGUGUGGAUGUUGAAGGAAGCGCUUAAUAAGCUGAAGGACACAGCAGUCAGCUAUACCAACAAAGCAGCUCUGUGUAAGUCUAUAUUGUUGGCAAUUCUGUUAUACUUUGGUUUUUUAUGAAAGUUAGUGCUUUUUCCUGUAAUUUUAUCUGAUUUACCCUCUC